rnacentral:rRNA from 2 species
AUCCGGGUUGCGGACAGUGUCUGGUGGGUAGUUUGACUGGGGCGGUCUCCUCCUAAAGAGUAACGGAGGAGCACGAAGGUUGGCUAAUCCUGGUCGGACAUCAGGAGGUUAGUGCAAUGGCAUAAGCCAGCUUGACUGCGAGCGUGACGGCGCGAGCAGGUGCGAAAGCAGGUCAUAGUGAUCCGGUGGUUCUGAAUGGAAGGGCCAUCGCUCAACGGAUAAAAGGUACUCCGGGGAUAACAGGCUGAUACCGCCCAAGAGUUCAUAUCGACGGCGGUGUUUGGCACCUCGAUGUCGGCUCAUCACAUCCUGGGGCUGAAGUAGGUCCCAAGGGUAUGGCUGUUCGCCAUUUAAAGUGGUACGCGAGCUGGGUUUAGAACGUCGUGAGACAGUUCGGUCCCUAUCUGCCGUGGGCGCUGGAGAACUGAGGGGGGCUGCUCCUAGUACGAGAGGACCGGAGUGGACGCAUCACUGGUGUUCGGGUUGUCAUGCCAAUGGCACUGCCCGGUAGCUAAAUGCGGAAGAGAUAAGUGCUGAAAGCAUCUAAGCACGAAACUUGCCCCGAGAUGAGUUCUCCCUGAGACUUAGAGUCUCCUGAAGGAACGUUGAA